rnacentral:misc_RNA from 1 species
GGUUGCAGUCUCAUCACCGAGUUUAACAGCCAAAUGAAGAGGGCUAUCCCGGUUAGGGACAUCCCUUCGAUCAAUCACUGCAGAAAUAGCAUCAGCCUUAGCUUCCUCGGCCAGCGAUACUGCUUCAGUAUGAAUCUCAGCAGGAUCACAAAGCCGAGGCAACGCAGCAAUUAUCUUCCUCAAAGAAGCAUAAUCUUUCAAGACUAUACCUUUAUGCACAGGGCUAUGUGCAUAUUUCGAAACAUCAAUACCAGCCAUACUUCAGAAGUAGAGUAUUCAAAGGCCACACCCUACUCUAUAAUUACACUGCCAAAUCCAACUCAAUCAUCAAAAACCAGGAAGCAAUCAACAAGCAAAAUUAGUAAACCAACAACCCUCCACCCAAAAUCAAACCACUAAACAGAAUCCCCUAAAAGACUCAAUUUUUUUCCACUUAAACAACAACAUGUACCAAUUUCUCCCAACACCCUUUACAUAAAGUCUUUUCCCAAAACCAUUCCAACCCAGUUCAAGUUACACUAUUUAAAACCAAGAAACAAUACAAAACUCAGAAAAGAACAGAUUUUUACCACAAACAACAGGAGUAUAGAAUCUUUAAGAGGGACCCAAAGAGUAAAAGUCAAGAAAUCACACCUUAUUGUUCACAAACAAGCACAGAAAAGACCCAAAAUUGGUUAACCAAAAGGCACACACACCCCUUAGCUCCUGAACCCACCAAAUAACCCCCCCUUUCUUUACAAAUAAAUAAAAAUGAGAGAUCUUGGUGAUCUGAUCCAGAUCAGACAAACCCCAAAAACAUGCAUGUGGGGUGGUGCAAGAAUC